GUGCAAAAACCCCUUGGAGCGUUGGGCUGAACUGGACUCACCUUGGGGACAUCGCUUAAAUGAAUACACUAAAAUGGACUUAUCCUGGCCAGGUGUGGUGGCUCAUGUCUGUAAUCCUAGCACUUUGGGAGACCGAGGCAGGUGGAUCACCUGAGGUCAGGAGUUCGAGACCAGCCUGGCCAACAUGGCGAAACCUCAUUUCUACUAAAAACAUAAAAAUCAGCCAGGCGUGGUGGCAGGUGCCUGAAAUCCCAGCUACUUGGGAGGCUGAGGCAGGAGAAUCACUUGAACCCAGAGGGUGGAGGCUGCAGUGAGCCAAGAUCAUGCCACUUCACUCCAGGCUGGGCAAAAAGAGCAAAACUCCGUCUCAAAAUAAAUAAAUAAAAUAAAAUAAAAUGGACUUAUUCCACUGCAUCUGGAAAUCUGUAAAAUUUCAGAUGCAUAUAUUUUCCAAAAACUAUGAGCUCCCAACAUUUAGGAAAUGUUAGGUUGUAUAAAGCAACAAAAUUAAACAUGGUUAAGGUUACGAAUGAUGGACCAAAUAUGUGCCGAAUUUUUGUUUGUUUUAGAGAUAGGGUCUCACUCUGUCACCCAGAGUGCAGUGGCGCAAUCACAGCUCACUGCAACCUCAAACUCAUGGGCUCAAGCGAUCCUCCUGCCUCAGCCUCCUGAGUAGCUGGGACCACAGGUGUGCACCACUAUGCCCAGCUAAGUUUUUAUUUAUUUUUUUAGAGGUGGGAUCUCACUAUGUUGCCCAGGCUGGUCUCAAAUUCCUGUCCUCCUGCCUUAGCUUCCUGAGUAGCUAGGAUUACAGGUAUGAGCCACUGCACCUGGCUAUGUGUUGAAUUUUUUUUAAAGCAGUCGUAAAUACACACGGUUGGUCAGAAACUCAUAUCUGUGGUUCACCACGAUCCCCUCGGCCUCGUUGAAUGGAACAUCCCCUGCCCACCCCCAGUGGCCUGACGUGGACCCCACCUAGACACGGGAAGGAAGUUGAACUAGGCUGUCAGGUGCCUCCCUCCUAACCCAGGACCCACCACACAAAGGCUCAGUGGACUUGUGAGGGAUCACUUAGCUUGUUUUUUUUCUGUUUUUUUUUUUUUUUAUUAACUGGCCUAAGAACAUGGAUACUUUUAAAGCUAUAAAUACUGUUAACAGUUUUAAAAGUGUCUUCAAAGAGGUAAGUGCUAGGAUCGGCCUUUCUCAGCCUGCUGUCCUCAGAAGCCCUUGCAGAGUGUAGAGGAUCAUAAGAGGGUUUUGAGAAAAGGGGACCUUUCAUCCCUGCAAGGUCUGAGAAAAGAGAAAAAUUAAUAAAUAGUAAAGAAAAAAAGAAAAAGGAAUUAAGUAAGUUUAGAGGAACUGCAUUAAGCAAAGUCAAAUUUAUUUUCCAUAGGAAUUCUCAGAACUUUUAACAUGCAGACAUGAGGCCGGGCACGGUGGCUCAUGCCUAUAAUCCCAGCACUUAGGGAGGCCAAGAUGGGAGGAUUGCUUGAGCACAGGAGUUUGAGACCAACCUGGGCAUAGUGAGACCUCGUCUCUACAAAAAAAAUAAUAAAAAUUAGCCAGGUGUGGCAGUGUGUGCCUGUGGCCUCAGGUACACGAGAGGCUGAGGCAGAAGAUCACUUGAACCCAGAAGAUCGAGGCUGCAGUAAGCAGUGAUCGCACCACUGCACUCCAGCCUGGGCAACAGAGCGAGGCUCAAAAAAUAAAAAAUAAAAAAACAAAACAACAAACAUGCAGACAUGCACCAUGAACCUCAAAGAAGGGAGGUACAAGUGAAGGGGGCUUCCUGGACAGACUGGAUCACAAGUCAUGGCACAGCACAAACAAGGUCCCUUCUAACAAAAUGGCCAUCUACGACCACUUAAAAUCACUUAUAAGUACAGGCUGAGUAUUCCUCAUCCCAAAUGCUUGGUAUCAGAAGAGUUUCAGAUUUCAGAUUUUUUUUUUUUUUUUUUCAGAUGGGGUUUUCACUGUGGAGGCUAAGGCAUGAGAAUCUUGUGAAUCCAGAGGGCAGAGGCUGCAGUGAGCCAAGAUCAUGUCACUGCACUCCAGCCUGGGCAAGAGUUAGACUCUGUCUCCAAAAAAAAAAAAAAAAAACUCUGAUUAAGGCCUUUAGUCAAAGUUACACCAAUGUCUACUUUGUUACAUUAAUAACACCAAUGUGGCUGGGCGUGGUGGCUCAUGCCCAUAAUCCCAGCAGUUUGGGAGGCCGAGGUGGGCAGAUCACCUGAGGUCAGGAGUUCGAGACCAGCCUGGCCAAGAUAGUGAAACACUAUCUCUACUAAAAAUACAAAAAUUAGCCAGGCAUGAUGGUUCUCGCCUGUAAUCCCAGCUACUCCAGAGGCUGAGGCAGGGGAAUCACUUGAUCCUGGGAGGUGGAGGUUGCAGUGAGCCGAGAUUGCACCACUGCACUCCAGCCUGGGCAACAGAGUGAGACUCCAUGUCAAAAAAAUAAAAAAUAACACCAAUGUUAUUUUCUGGCUCUGAUCACUGUGCUGUGGUUAUGUAAGACACCAUCACUGGGGAGAGCUGGCAAAAGAUACACAGGAACCCUCCAAGCUAUUUGUGCAACUUCCACGAGAGACUGGUCCAAAAUAAAAAGUCUGGACAACACUUUAAUCACAUGUAAGGUUACAAAACAUUAAAAGAAAAAUAAAUAAAUAAAUAAAUAAAAGAUACACUAGCCAUGAAAGAUGGCUCCAAGUGUUUAAAAGACCUUUAUUUCAAAAUGAAAACUUCCCGUGUUAAGUUUGACAGCCGUGCUCAUGCCUAGUAAUACUUGACAGUGGAGGAAUGUGGAAGGAGCCGUGGAGGUCACCCAGCCUGGGGGCUCUGCCCAGCCCCUCCAUUUGCUCUGUGUACAUGUGUAUAUACCUGUUUGUCCAAGAACCCUUUACCUUCUGGAUCGGCCAAGUCCCAUAUCUGCGGAAACACAAAAAUGCUCAUAAGCAUGACUGCCGAUCACUGUCCACGUGUUAACAAAAACCAGAGCCGCCACCACCCCAUCACUGGCCUUGCGGGGCAGGAGUGACUGUCCCCAGGUUGUCCUGCAGAUGAAGAAGCCAAUUCAGAGCAGGUGAAUGAUCUGCCCAGGGGCGCACAGCCAGUCAGCGGCAGGGCCCAGAGGACAUCCAGGUGCACUCAGCUCCCAAGCCAAUGGUGUUUAUGACACCCUUCUUCCCCCAACUAAAGUCCGCAAGUGGCCAAGCGCGGUGGUUCACGCCUGUAAUCCCAGCACUUUGGGAGGCCAAGAGAAAAAGUAAGCUUAAUGUUCUUUAAUAAAUCCUGAUUCUAGGGCAAACAAUAUAGUCACUCAGGAAACAGCAGCAGCAGCCCAGUGUCAAUUUCCAUUCACUGAGCAAAGGGAUUUCAGCUCCUGGAGAGCUCAGAGGGAAAGGACACUCUAUCCUCUGAGAUUGUUCUCUGGCUCCGGAAUCAGAAAAGAAGUUUCCACGCAUUAUCAUAAAUCACCAGGCCUGCAAGCUUUCGACCAGUUUCCCUGGCCUGGGUCUGGUUCUCAACCAUCCCAUCCAUCCUCCUCCAGCUACCUGAGUGCUCAGAGACGCACACUGACCAGCCCGCGCCCGGAGAGCGCUGGCCAGUAACUGUUCCCACCAGGGAAGGAAGGAAGUGCAGUGUCCUCAGCUUGGCACUGAAGAUAUUCCAUUUCCCGACACCUCAGAGCCCCAAGACAUCGCUGUUUGGAGGUCACUUCCCCAUCUAGGGUCACGCAGCUAAUCGGGGCCACCAGAGGCCACACCUGGAUCCAGCCUGGCUGGCGGCCAAGUCCAGACACUUCCCGCUGUGUCCUGAGCUCUGCCAGACGUCUCCCAGGGAAGGGGAGGGACACCCAGGGGAGUGUGCCAACCUGGUGGGGAAUUAUGCAGUCCCUGAAAUGCUGGCUGUAAAAGUUUACGUGCGUUGGUGUUUUAGUAAGUGAGGUGAAAAAAGAGCACACAAACCUGCCGCUGAUGUAAUAAGCGAUAAAAGUGAAGAAUGCACAAUGACACCUAAUUAUACAGAAUGGAUGUGUAAACAGCUAAAGAGAAUAGAACUGGGCAGGGAAAAGAGGACUAUCUUGGGGGCAGGAUUACAGUGUUUAUCCAACAAAUUCUGGGACUGCUGUUGUACGAUUUCUCACAAUGAAUAAAACCAGGGGGACGUAGACUCCUUCCAGUUAUAGUCAUUGGAUUUGAACCAAUACGCACCCACCACUUGCAUAUUGUUGUGCUACAAAGGGUCAUUUGAAGCUAAAAAUAAUGCCCAGGCCGGGCGCAGUGGCUCACGCCUAUAAUCCCAGUACUUUGUGAGGCCAAGGCAGGCAGAUCACCUGAGGUCAGGAGUUCGAGACCUGGCCAACAUGACAAAGCGAGACACCAUCUCUACAACAAAUACAAAAAUUAGCCAGGCGUGGUGGCAUGCACCUGUAAUCCCAGCUACUUGGGAGGCUGAGGCAGGAGAAUCGCUUGAACCCAGGAGGCGGAGGUUGCAGUGAGCCGAGAUCGUACCACUGCACUCCAGCCUGGGUGACAAGAGUGAAACUCUGUCUCAAAAAUAAAAAGAAAAAAAUAAUAAUGCCCGGAUUAUGGUCAGCGUCUCUGGGGGACGCCAACACCUGUGAAUGUAUAAAGAAGUGAAAGUUGUAAUCCCAAACAGCACUUUGGGAGGCCGAGGCAGGCAGAUCACGAGGUCAGGAGCUCAAGAUCAGUCUGGCCAACAUAGUGAAACCCCGUCUCUACUAAAAAUACAGAAAAUUAGUCAGGUGUGGUGGUGUGCGCCUGUAAUCCCAGCUACUCAGGAGGCUGAGACAGGAGAAUUGCAUUAAUCCGGGAGGCAGAGAUUGCAGUGAGCCGAGAUCGCGCCACUGCACUCCAGCCCAGGCGACGGUGCGAGACUCCGUCUCAAAAAAAAAAAAAAAAAAAAGAAGUGAAAGUACAGAGAAAACUACCAUGACAAAAUGAAAAUAGAAGGAAAAUAGCAUAAAGAUCUGAAAGGGGAGAGGGAAAAAGUCAAAAAAAAAAAAAAGAGGAAAAGAAAGGGGGAAACACUGAAAAGGCAGAAAAAACUAGAAUAACAUGAAAAAGCAAGAAAAGCCAGAGAUUUAGGAGCCAUCAUUUUAAAACAGACAAAGACAUCAUGGAAAAGACAUAGGAGGUAAGUGUGUAUAGCAACAGCAGCCCCAAGAUGGCUGCCCCCCUCGUGCUUGGAGGCAGUGACACCAUUCCUGGGUGAGGGGUACAGGAAGGAGUGGCUAUCACCCUUAGCAUCUUACAACCUCGUUAGAUGACAGUGUCCAGCCAUCACACCUGUGUCAACUUCUGGGCUCAAACUCCAGCUUAUUUCCAAAAUAUGUCUCCCCAGAGGAAGAAGACCCACAGAAAGGAGGCCAAGGCAGGCAGGCUGUUUGUCAUCUGUCAGUAAAGGUGACAGUGGUCAGGUCUAGGCAGCAAACAGCACAUCGCCUGCCAUGGGUUCACAGACUCCAGAGGCCCUCACUUCAGAUGACAAAGGUGCCCUUCC
rnacentral:lncRNA from 1 species